UACGUAGGGGGCUAGCGUUGUUCGGAAUCAUUGGGCGUAAAGAGCGUGUAGGCGGUCCGGUAAGUCCGCUGUGAAAGUCGGGGGCUCAACCCUCGAAUGCCGGUGGAUACUGUCGGGCUAGAGUGCGGAAGAGGCGAGUGGAAUUCCUGGUGUAGCGGUGAAAUGCGCAGAUAUCAGGAGGAACACCUAUUGCGAAGGCAGCUCGCUGGGACGUUACUGACGCUGAGACGCGAAAGCGUGGGGAGCAAACAGG
rnacentral:rRNA from 1 species